GAACUUUCCAGAGAUGGAUUGGUGCCUUCGGGAACUUAGAUACAGGUGCUGCAUGGCUGUCGUCAGCUCGUGUCGUGAGAUGUUGGGUUAACGUCCGCAACGAGCGCAACCCUUUUCCUUAUUUGCCAGCGGGUAAUGCCGGGAACUUUAAGGAUACUGCCAGUGACAAACUGGAGGAAGGCGGGGACGACGUCAAGUCAUCAUGGCCCUUACGGCCAGGGCUACACACGUGCUACAAUGGUCGGUACAAAGGGUUGCUACCUCGCGAGAGGAUGCUAAUCUCAAAAAGCCGAUCGUAGUCCGGAUCGCAGUCUGCAACUCGACUGCGUGAAGUCGGAAUCGCUAGUAAUCGCGGAUCAGAAUGCCGCGGUGAAUACGUUCCCGGGCCUUGUACACACCGCCCGUCACACCAUGGGAGUUUGUUGCACCAGAAGUAGGUAGUCUAACCGCAAGGAGGACGCUUACCACGGUGUGGCCGAUGACUGGGGUGAAGUCGUAACAAGGUAAGCGUAGAUGA
rnacentral:rRNA from 1 species